CUGCUCAGAACGAACGUAGGCGGCAGGCCUAACACAUGCAAGUCGCACGAGAACGAUUCCCUUCGGGGAUUCUAGUAAAGUGGCGCACGGGUGAGUAACGCGUGGGUAAUCUACCUAAAGGUACGGAAUAACGUCUCGAAAGGGGCGCUAAUACCGUAUAAGACCACGGAUUCUGCGGAUUCUGUGGUAAAAGGGGGCCUCUCUAUAGAAGCUUCCGCCCUUAGACGAGCCCGCGUCCCAUUAGCUUGUUGGUGAGGUAACGGCUCACCAAGGCCGCGAUGGGUAGCUGGUCUGAGAGGAUGAUCAGCCACACUGGAACUGGAACACGGUCCAGACUCCUACGGGAGGCAGCAGUGAGGAAUCUUGCGCAAUGGGGGAAACCCUGACGCAGCCANGCCGCGUG
rnacentral:rRNA from 1 species